rnacentral:rRNA from 1 species
CAGUCGCCGCGGUAAUACGGAGGGUGCAAGCGUUAAUCGGAAUUACUGGGCGUAAAGCGCACGCAGGCGGUCUGACAAGUCAGAUGUGAAAUCCCCGGGCUUAACCUGGGAACUGCAUUUGAAACUGUCAGGCUGGAGUCUUGUAGAGGGGGGUAGAAUUGCAGGUGUAGCGGUGAAAUGCGUAGAGAUCUGGAGGAAUACCGGUGGCGAAGGCGGCCCCCUGGACAAAGACUGACGCUCAGGUGCGAAAGCGUGGGGAGCAAACAGGAUUAGAUACCCGCGUAGUCCCUGUCUCUUAUAC